rnacentral:lncRNA from 1 species
AGCUCUUCCGCCGCGGCGCGCUCCUGAUGAGUGCUGUGUCCAGGAUGAUCAUGAAUUCAAGGUAUGUGUUAGAUGGCAAGUUUGGCUUUCCAGGCAUAAUUCCAGGAACAGUUCUUGGCCAAGGAUGAGAACUCUAACCUGACUGGAUACGCUGCUGUGAUGGGUUAAAGGAUUUACCUGAGGCCAAUAGAACAGGCAGGAAUUUAAUGCAGUCACCCCAUGUCUUUUUAAAGUAGAUGAGGGGUUGGAGAAUGGAGUGAGAGGGCUUAGCAGUGCCAAGCCCGUUACCUUUGAUUCUGGGACCUGGUGGAGAGAGCCAGCUCUCUAGAGUUAUUCUUGCACCUUCAUGUGUGUGCUAGCACACGUGUGUGCACACUCAAAAUAAUAAAUGUAAUAAAUGGGAGCGUUGGUGAAUGUUUAAUACUUAGAGGGUGAUAUGGCUUUGCAUUUCAAGUUGUGUUCAAACAUUUCUGAGUAGAUCCACCCAAUGUACUGGGUAGUACAUUAAGUGUUCUAUUUAUACUAAAAGAUGGUUAAUGUCAACAUAGUCCACACAUGGGUGUGUUGCUUUAUUUAUUAAGUAAUGGUUGCAGAUGUACUUACCUCUGGUGUUCCUUCUGCAGCUCUGGAGCUUGAGAUGAACUGGUCCGACUUCUAGAAGAGAAGGUUCCCCCCCCCCCCCCAGGAAAAGCCAGUGCAGUUACCUGACAGUGAGUAAACCCGAUGUUUCUUGUGGUUUCGUCAGAUCUACCAUCGCCUGCCAGCCUGACCUGCUUUGACCCCGCAGACUGUCCCUGUCCCCUCUGAACAAAAGGAUGGCUGUUGCACAGCAGCCCUAUGGUUUGGUUGCUGCAGGUACUUAAAAUGGCUGUCUGAACUUAAACUGGGAGGGUAGCCAUUAGGAGAUAGAAACCUACCUCCCAUAUUUCUUAGGAGUCUUGUGAUUUGGAGACUCCAUUUGUUCUUCAUUCCUCCCUAAAUGGCCAACCACCGUGGGCAAGGGUUCACCUGCCACUCAUAAGCCUAGCCUGAGCUGUGCAGUGGUGCUGCAUACCUUUAAUCCUGGCAGAGGCGGGUGCAUUUCUGAAUAUGAGGCCAGCCUGGCCUACAGAGCAAAUUCCAAAACAGCUAAGGCUACACAGAGAAACCAAACCACUCCAGCCUGAUUGUUUCAAGUACAGACCUUUCCUGAAGGUUCAGGCUUGGGCCUACUCAACUCCAUAGGCCCAAAGGCUAAUUCUUGAUAAAGUCAGUUAGGCUUCUGUUUCCUUGCUAGACACCUGGCCUCUCAGAGUCAAGUAACCUUCCCUCUCCCCUGACUUGAUUUAUAUAAGCCAGUCCUGCUAGUUCAAUAAUUGAGCUGUUCUCCGAAACAGUAUCCUAGGGUAGAAACAUAGAUUUAGCGGUGAAGAUGACCAGACCAAGUCUGCAGCCACCAAAACAAGAUUACUAGUUCUCAGAAAAAAUUUCCUGCCCUUCCCUGCACUGAAUUCCAAAGAAAACCACAAAGUGCCCUGAUCUUGCCACCAAAAUUCCCUGAGAUACUAAUUAGCUGACCAAUGAAUUUACAAAUAUAUUGCUGCUUUGCUGACCAAUCACAAUAUGACUAUUCAACCCUCCAUAAAAAGAGUAUAAAAAGAGCUGUGCUUGGGCUGGUGAGAUGGCUCAGUGGGUAAGAGCACCCGACUGCUCUUCCAAAGGUCCAGUGUUCAAGUCCCAGCAACCACAUGGUGGCUCACAACCAUCCGUAACAAUGUCUGAUGCCCUCUUCUGGAGUGUCUGAAGACAGCUACAGUGUACUUCUUAAAUAAAUAAAUAAAUCUUAAAAAAAAAAAAAAAG